rnacentral:rRNA from 1 species
AACGAACGCUGGCGGCGCGCCUAAUACAUGCAAGUCGAGCGAGAAGGUGUAGCAAUACACUUGUAAAGCGGCGAACGGGUGAGGAAUGCAUGGGUAACCUACCCUCGAGUGGGGAAUAACUAGCCGAAAGGUUAGCUAAUACCGCAUACGUUUCCGGAACUUCGGUUUCGGAAAGAAAGCAAUACCGUGGGUAUUGCGCUCCUGGAUGGGCUCAUGUCCUAUCAGCUUGUUGGUGAGGUAACGGCUCACCAAGGCUUCGACGGGUAGCUGGUCUGAGAGGACGAUCAGCCACACUGGCACUGCGACACGGGCCAGACUCCUACGGAGGCAGCAGUAAGGAAUAUUGCGCAAUGGACGAAAGUCUGACGCAGCGACGCCGCGUGGGGGGAUGAAGGUCUUCGGAUUGUAAACCCCUUUCGGAGGGAAGAUGGAGUGGGUAACACUUGGACGGUACCUCCACGAAGCAGCCACGGCUAACUUCGUGCCAGCAGCCGCGGUAA